AGAUGGAGCUUUUAACGAGGAAGCUCAUUGUCCACUUUUUUGGUGUGUUUGCAGUGCAACGUUGACAGUUUUAACAAUAAAAACCCCCUUAUUCAAGUUCAUCACUUUUUCAAAUUUUUAUCAAAGAUGAGUCUUUUUCUCUUAUCUACUCGAACGCAUUACUUGUUAUUAGCUAUUAGUUGAUUAUCAGUAAUUGCUUUUUCGUUUCACCGAGCUCUGCUCCGUGGACGCUUUCUGAAUUCUUUGAAGACUCUGGCCAGGAGCCUCGGCCUGGUUAGAUCUCCCUCUCUUUUCUGGACUCUGGACUUACGAAUUUUGGAACAUGGAACCCCGGACAACUUUGGUGACUUGUCAAAAGACUUUUCUUUCUCUUUCUGAAAUCUUUUUCAUUUUUAGAUCUCCCUCUCUUUUCUGGACUCUGGACUUACGAAUUUGGAACAUGGAACCCCGGACAACUUUGGUGACUUGUCAAAAGACUUUUCUUUCUCUUUCUGAAAUCUUUUUCAUUUUUAGAUCAUUUUAAUAUUUUGAUUUCGUUUAAUAAAUUGUAAAACGCCAGUUUUCUUUGUCAUUUUUAACUUGAAACUAUCCCGAUCGUAAAAAGCAUGAUUGUUUAAAUAUUUUUCAGUUUUCUAAUUCUGCUCUGCUCUCCCACUGCAUUUCAGCAGGUAUAAUUGUCCAAAUACUUGGAUUUUCACUUUAAGGGUGAAUUUCAGAGUAUUUCGUCAAUUAUAUCUCACAACUGCUCCUCCAGUGAUAAUACUUGAUUCUAUGUAAGAGUAUAAGUCGUAAAGUUAUAAAAUUACGCCUUAUAUGGAAUCGGGUUUAUCUCUGAAGGAAGGAUGACCAUCCCAAUAAGCCUUCUGCUUUAUUUCUCCAUUGUAAGUGGUGGUCAUUACAGCAGGACAAAACAAGAUCGUUAAAAUACAACGUGUCAGUCUCUUCUGCAGUUAAUGCUGGAAAGCGGAGUAGUGAACAUUGUUUGAAUUGAAGGUGGACGAUCUUCGCCUCUCUCUUUUUGAAAAAAUCUGUGAAGUUUCACUAUAUGGUUUGAAUAUUAACAUGCCAGCGAAACUUUUUGAAGUUCCACUAAUUUUUAGUGGUCCGAAAUGUAUGUCAUUGAAUGAUACACACACAAAAUUUAAACACUAAUAAAAAGGAUAUUGAUGGUGUCGAGUCUGAAAUGUCUCCGAGAAAAUUUUUGAUUGUGAAAAUAUUGAAUUUAAAACGUCCAUUGAAAGGCUUUUCAUUAGCACGAUGUCCGAUGCAAAAUACUUACAACAUACCCAACACUGGAAAAAAAGUCGCUUGGAUCUAGAGCUAGUCCAGACUCAAAAUAACAUUGACAAGAAAAAAUACCCUUGAUUCAAUCCGAUUUUUCCUUGAAUCGAAGAGCCGAGCCUCUUGAUUUAGGAGAAUUUCUUUUGAUUCAAGCAAAAAGUCCGAUUGAAUCAAGAGUUUUUUCUUCUUGUCAAUGUUUUUAAGAGUCUGGACUCUAGAUCCAAGCGACCUUUUUUUCCAGUGAAGAAACGUAAAUUCCAACGUCAUAAAAUGAACUUGACCUGUACUUAA
rnacentral:lncRNA from 1 species